UUCUCUCUUCUCCCUUCCUCCUCCAUAUUUCGGACGCUCAUUCCAAAGGGCCAACAAAACCACGAUGACCAUACUCUAAUGAAGCUCAUACCACCCCUAUGUACCACUCACGAUGGUCACAAAGGCUGAGACUAAACCAAACUGACAUUUUUUAAGCUCUCUCCUCCUUUGACCGAACCUCUAGAGGACCCUAACCAAAGCAUAAGCCGCCCCCUACACUGUCGUAAAUCGGAGUAUAUCAGCACCGAUCCAUGCUCAGGCCACCAUUAACAACCAUCAGGGACAUCAAAAACCAACCCAAUCGACCCAAAUAUUCCACUUCCCACUUUAAACCUCCUUCUAAACCUAACAGAAACUUGAGACCCCUCCGGUGACCACCGUGACGGUUGAGCAAACCCAAACGUCCCUAAACUCACAAUCUCGGGCUCCUUACUCUGGCGACGAAACCAUAUCAAAAGACACCAUUCCAACUUCGACAAUGGAACCCGAACGGUGAUGAGAUGGAGUCGACGAGGCUCCACCAACUUUCACACAACCCAAAUUUCGUGAGCUGGAGGUUUGUUGGUGUCAGUUUGUUACCAUCUGCUGCUGAGAGGAUGAGCCCAAUUGAUAGUGCACAACUGGCGUGAAAGAUAGGUGCCAACUCGGGGAACUUCUUGAAUGCUAGUGAUGAGGCGUGGUUGUUGCUGGGAUUGCUCACGUGGAAGAUAGGGGUAUCUCUACUAAUAUUUCACAACCCUGAUUUUGGGUUUGUUGUUGGGUUUAGUAAUGGGUCCAAACUGGGCAUGGGCCAUUUUGUUUUGGGACAAAUGGAUUGGGUUUAAAUUUGAAUUUGAACAUUUAUUUAGGUUUUAUAAAUGGGGUGUUAUGUAUACAUAG